rnacentral:lncRNA from 1 species
UUGCCUACCAAAUAUAAUCUAUACCAAAAGAGGUUAGUAGGAUCCAUGAAUUGUCCUAAAUGUACAAGAGAAGUGGAAAAUGUUGAGCAUGCCUUCUUGGAUUGUUUAGCUACAAAGGAUACCUAGAGAAAGUUACACGGAUUGGUCGUUGAAAUUAAAUGAAGGACAAUUUAAAGAUUGGAUUUUGUACCUUUUCAAUAAUGGCUCAAUACAAAAAUGUUGAAUAAUAGCAUGCUCACUCUAGGCUUUAUGGACAACUAAGUGACCGCCUACAAACGUACCAACGUCUAGAGUAGAAAUCCUGCAAAAAAAAUGUUAAAUAGGUAAUAUCCGCAAGUAUACGGGUCAGGUUGUAAUAUAGUUACAACGAAGUAGGUGAGUGCUCCAAGGAUCGUACCUAAGGGAGGAGAGCACUAAAUUAAUCCUAACC